GGAGCUCUGGCUGCGUGCUGGCUCCCAGAAGAGGAACCUGCUGCAGGCGCCGGCGCGGGCGGCGAGGACGACCUGUUUUUCUGACCCAGCCCGGAAGCGCUGGUGCAGGCCUUGAGCUUCCUUUUUUCUUCUCGCUGUGGAAAUUGCCUGGAAAGCUAUGAACUGUUGGUUCUUGAAUCAGUUGGCUGCCCCGGAUGUCUGAAUCCCUUGGAAGGAACCUGGAGGAGUUGGCUGAUGGGCUCCAGGUGCUACCGGAUCACUCUAACAACCCUCUGUAUUAGACCUGUGUUGGAACUGUGGCCAUGUGUUCACAACAGCAGCCAUUACAGGUGUUUCCUGAACUCUUGUCACGAGCCUCUCUGUCGGCUCCAUCUCAUCGAUCCUCCCAGCAACCCACAAGGAAGGAGAGGUUUCUUUACAGAUGAGGAAACUGGGGCGUUUGGCUAAAGUUGUUGAUUUGCCAGAGUCCCACAGCAGUGGCUUCACAGAGAGGCAGAUGCCACACAGGCCACCCACCCAGAUGCAGAGCCAGAUUCCCUGCGUGGACUGGACGGGAGUUUCCCAGCUGGAGUUCUCUCGGCCAAGCUGCCUGUGACAUGGGGUUGGAGGUGCUCCAGAGAGUCAUGGCCACCCCUGGAGGAAGUGACUUGUGGCUGACUGCUCAAGGGGAAGUCCUGUGGCAGUGGAGUCGUCAGCAUUAAUUCAAAUAAGAUCUCUCCCUGCACACAAUCUGCUUUCGUGUUCCUGAUGGAUUGAAUCAAGAGUGAAUGAGCUCUUCCUUCGCGAAAGCAAAACAAACUAAACGCAUCAACCGCGACCGCAGAGCCCCCAUCUCUCCCAGGAGGGUGAGCCCACGUUGUGUUUUCAUUUGUCAGAAAUCUAUCUUAGGAAGCCAUUCCUGAGAUCUGUUCUAAUUUAGGCCAUUUAAAAAAAAAAUAAUGCAGUUGAUUCUUUUCCCGUGAUCUUUCUUUUCUCCAUGACUUAAAUUUCCCCAGGAACUAUUCAAAUGCCGCAUCUGGGGUUUUGUUUUUGUUUUUUGAUGAAGUCAUGACUUUCUUUAAACAGUAAUUAUU